rnacentral:rRNA from 1 species
AAUACGUUCCCGGCUUGUACACACCGCCCGUCACACCACGAAAGUCGGUAACACCCGAAGCCGGUGGCCCAACCCGUAAGGGAGGGAGCCGUCGAAGGUGGGAUCGGUGAUUGGGGUG